AGACGAGCUCUCCAAACGUUAUUCGGUAUCACUGGGCUUAAAGAGUUCGUAGGCGGCCUAGCAGGUCAGGUGUGAAAUCCCACAGCUCAACUGUGGAAUUGCGCUUGAAACCGCUGGGCUUGAGGGAGAUAGAGGUAAGCGGAACAGAUGGUGGAGCGGUGAAAUGCGUUGAUAUCAUCUGGAACACCGGUGGCGAAAGCGGCUUACUGGGUCUCUUCUGACGCUGAGGAACGAAAGCUAGGGUAGCGAACGGGAUUAGAUACCCCGGUAGUCCUAGCCGUAAACGAUGAGCACUAGUCCGUGGGAACCCUCACAUUCUCUCGGACGUAGCGAAAGUGUUAAGUGCUCCGCCUGGGGAGUAUGGUCGCAAGGCUGAA
rnacentral:rRNA from 1 species